CCUAAGCCAGCUCUGUUUGUUUCCAACAUUCUUUCUACAAAGCUACACCCAUUUAUCCUGCUGAACAUUCCCCAGCUUUCUAGAUUGUAUGGACUAGCUCCGGAUCACUUAAAAUUGAAACUCACCCAGAUGCACUCCCUGUCAGCAAAGCAAAAGCUUCCUAAUGGCCACUUUGCAGAAGUGCCAGUGUUACCCUUUCCAAGUGAGCUGCUGGAGAAGGCUGUCCACCAUAUGGAGCAGGACGUGAGCUUUCUGUGCCUCCAGUGGGACUGGAGAGUUUAUGAUUACAAAUAUUUCUGCAGAAGCUGUUUGCAGAUUCAAGGAAGAAAUCAUUUGGAUCUUUUAUCUAAACUUUCACCCAUCCUUUGCAAUUAAUUGCCUAGGACAUGCCAACUUUCUUCUCUCAUCAGUUGAAAGAUAUGAAAAUAUCUCUUACUGAAUGCUUGUGUUGGGGGGGGGGAUAGGAAAAGGUGGCCAACUGACAUUCGCCUUUCAACCGAAUUAUUUGAAGGACAUGCACCAAUAUUGAUUCUGCCAUCAGAAAUGCAAACAUUUUGUUAUAUUUUCAGGAUGACAGAACUGAAAAAUUGGUCGUUUCUUCUAUCUUGCUGUUAAUCUGUAGCUAGCAUUUUGUGUAGCAUGUUUAAGAGAGAAGGGUUAAGAGGCAUGAAAAACUAUGGAAAGAAUCGAGAUGUCCAUCAACAGAUGAAUGGAUCAAGAAGAUGUGGUAUAUAUACACAAGGGAAUACUAUGCAGCCAUCAAAAGAAAUGAAAUCUUGCCAUUUGCAACAACAUGGAUGGAACUAGAGCGUAUCAUGCUUAGCGAAAUAAGUCAAGCAGAGAAAGACAACUAUCAUAUGAUCUCCCUGAUAUGAGGAAGUGGUGAUGCAACAUGGAGGCUUAAGUGGGUAGGAGAAGAAUAAAUGAAAGAAGAUGGGAUUGGGAGGGAGACAAACCAUAAGUGACUCUUAAUCUCACAAAACAAACUGAGGGUUGCUGGGGGGAGGGGGUUUGGGAGAAGGGGGUGGGAUUAUGGACAUUGGGGAGGGUAUGUGUUUUGGUGAGUGCUGUGAAGUGUGUAAACCUGGUGAUUCACAGACCUGUACCCCUGGGGAUAAAAAUA
rnacentral:lncRNA from 1 species